UUCGCUUAAUUUUAAACUCACAAGCGCCGUUUUGAUGCGUGAGCCGAGACGGUAUUCCUGUAAUAACAAACAGCAUAAUAUUAUGCUUAAACCCGCUACACACGACCCUAAAAUCACUGGCGAUAUCGAGACAGUGAAAUCGGGGCUGAAUCGGCGAUAAAAUUGUUUCUACUCUACACACGUCCUUGCCUGUCAGUACGUAACCGACUGUGCUACAGACUGCUCGUUUUUCCGAAAUGCCGCCGACGCUCUCAAAACAGCAGAAAAUAGGAAUUGUCUUGGCACUUACUACGGUGCCACCUAACCAGAGACGAAAAAGGAGGAUCUGGGUUAAAAACUGGUUAAUGAAACGCCAUGAAUUAAGCCACAUGAACGUCAUGAGACAAUGGAUAUUGAGUGUUUUGAAGAGCUCCUCAAAAUGGUGACACCAUUUACCAUACAGAAACAGGAUACCGUAAUGCGAGAAUCCAUAAGUCCGAGAGAACGACUUACAGUUACUUUACGUUUCCUAGCAACUAGACAAAGCUAUGAAGAUUUGAAAUUCCACAAUGAUUCCAGAGACAUGUUGUGCUAUCUAUAAUUGUUUGAAACAAUUUAUUAAGAUGCCUGCAACGCAAAGUGAAUGGAAAGGUAAUGCUAAAAUGUUUGAAGACAAGUGGCAAUUCGAUCACUGUGUUGGUGCAAUAGAUGGGAAACAUAUAUCCAUAGAAAAGCCACCGAGGAGUGGCACGUUAUUCUAUAACUAUAAAGGCUUUUUUAGUAGUUCUGUUCGCCGUAGUAAAUGCAAAUGAUGAGUUUAUGUAUAUACACACUGUCAUUAACGGAAGCGUCUCUGAUGACGGUGUCAUAACGCAUACAUCACUGUAUAAUAAAUUAAUGACAGAUAAGCUACAUCUACCACCAUCGUGUACGUUACAGGGCACAAAUAUUUCAGUGCCCUACACGUUUUUGGGAUACUCAGCAUUCGGCAUUAAUAGACACAUUAUGAAGCCAUACCCAUUUAAGAACAUAACUCACGAGAAAAGGAUUUUCAACUACAGAUUAUCACGAGCAAGGAGAGUAGUUGAAAACGCGUUUGGAAUUUUGGCAGCAUGUUUUAGGAUAUUUCGUCAAAGAAUAAGUGUGCACAUUGAUAAUGUCGACAAAAUUGUGCUCGCUUGUUGUGCCUUACAUAAUUAUUUAAGAACAAAGUCAAAAAAUUUUAUAACAAAAACAUGUGUCGAUGCUGAAAAUAUCAAUGAUUCUACUUUUCGUUAUGGUGACUGGCGGGAAGAAACCACAGGACUUGUAUCUCUAGCGCAAAUCAGUGAAAAAGAGCGCAAUAAUGAAAGCUACAACGUGCGAAAUAAAUUUACAACUUAUUUCAAUGGACACGGCAGUUUCUUUUCAGGAGGAUAUGUUGAGAGUAGUUCCUACAUAAAUUUAGUGUGUAUGUGUAUCUGACAAAUAAAACAUCCGUUUAUAAAUUGCA